AUUGAACGCUGGCGGCAGGCCUUACACAUGCAAGUCGAACGAGUGGCGGACGGGUGAGUAAUGUCUGGGAAACUGCCCGAUGGCGGGGGAUAACUACUGGAAAGGGUAGCUAAUACCGCCUACCAUUGGAUAGGCCCAGAUGGGAUUAGCUAGUUGGUGGGGUAACGGCUCCACUAGGCGACGAUCCCUAGCUGGUAUGAGAGGAUGACCAGCCACACUGGAACUGAGACACGGCCCAGACUCCUACGGGAGGCAGCAGUGGGGAAUAUUGCACAAUGGGCGCAAGCCUGAUGCAGCCAUCCCGCGUGUAUGAAGAAGGCCUUCGGGUUGUAAAGUACUUUCAGCGAGGAGGCGUUACUCGCAGAAGAAGCACCGGCUAACUCCGUGCCAGCAGCCGCGGUAAUUC
rnacentral:rRNA from 1 species